AUUGAACGCUGGCGGCAUGCCUUACACAUGCAAGUCGAACGGCAGCACGGGAGCAAUCCUGGUGGCGAGUGGCGAACGGGUGAGUAAUAUAUCGGAACGUGCCCAGUCGUGGGGGAUAACGUAGCGAAAGCUACGCUAAUACCGCAUACGAUCUAUGGAUGAAAGCGGGGGAUCGCAAGACCUCGCGCGAUUGGAGCGGCCGAUAUCAGAUUAGGUAGUUGGUGAGGUAAAGGCUCACCAAGCCGACGAUCUGUAGCUGGUCUGAGAGGACGACCAGCCACACUGGGACUGAGACACGGCCCAGACUCCGACGGGAGGCAGCAGUGGGGAAUUUUGGACAAUGGGCGCAAGCCUGAUCCAGCAAUGCCGCGUGCAGGAUGAAGGCCUUCGGGUUGUAAACUGCUUUUGUACGGAACGAAACGGCCCUUUCUAAUACAAGGGGCUAAUGACGGUACCGUAAGAAUAAGCACCGGCUAACUACGUGCCAGCAGCCGCCGUAACAC
rnacentral:rRNA from 1 species